rnacentral:rRNA from 1 species
GACGAACGCUGGCGGCGUGCUUAACACAUGCAAGUCGAACGAUGAAGUUCCUUCGGGAAUGGAUUAGUGGCGAACGGGUGAGGAACACGUGAGAAACCUGCCUUUCAUUUUGGGAUAACUCCGGGAAACCGGGGCUAAAACCGAAUACUCCGUCUCGGCGGCAUCGCUGAGCCGGGAAAAAAUUUUGAUGAAAGAUGGUCUCGCGGCCUAUCAGCUAGUUGGUGAGGUAAUGGCUCACCAAGGCAACGACGGGUAGCCGGCCUGAGAGGGCGACCGGCCACACUGGGACUGAGACACGGCCCAGACUCCUACGGGAGGCAGCAGUGGGGAAUAUUGGGCAAUGGGCGCAAGCCUGACCCAGCGACGCCGCGUGAGGAUGAAGGCCUUCGGGUUGUAAACCUCUUUCAGUUGGGAAGAAGCGAAAGUGACGGUACCUAAAGAAGAAGCACCGGCUAACUAUGUGCCAGCCGCCGCCGUAA